rnacentral:rRNA from 1 species
UACGUAGGGUGCGAGCGUUGUCCGGAAUUAUUGGGCGUAAAGAGCUCGUAGGCGGUGUGUCACGUCGUUCGUGAAAACCUGCAGCUUAACUGUGGGCGUGCGGUCGAUACGGGCAUCACUGGAGUUCGGCAGGGGAGACUGGAAUUCCUGGUGUAGCGGUGAAAUGCGCAGAUAUCAGGAGGAACACCGGUGGCGAAGGCGGGUCUCUGGGCCGGAUACUGACGCUGGAGGAGCGAAAGCGUGGGGAGCAAACAGG